rnacentral:rRNA from 1 species
UUGUACCUACGGGGCGCAGCAGUGGGGAAUAUUGCACAAUGGGGGAAACCCUGAUGCAGCGACGCCGCGUGAGGGAAGAAGGUUUUCGGAUUGUAAACCUCUGUCCUUGGUGACGAAAGAAGACGGUAGCCAAGGAGGAAGCCACGGCUAACUACGUGCCAGCAGCCGCGGUAAUACGUAGGUGGCAAGCGUUGUCCGGAAUUACUGGGUGUAAAGGGAGCGUAGGCGGGAGGAUAAGUUGGACGUAUAAACUAUCGGCUCAACCGGUAGAGGCGUUCAAAACUGUCCUUCUUGAGGGAAGUAGG